rnacentral:rRNA from 1 species
GACGAACGCUGGCGGCGUGCUUAACACAUGCAAGUCGAACGGAAAGGCCCUGCUUUUGUGGGGUGCUCGAGUGGCGAACGGGUGAGUAACACGUGAGUAACCUGCCCUUGACUUUGGGAUAACUUCAGGAAACUGGGGCUAAUACCGGAUAGGAGCUCCUGCUGCAUGGUGGGGGUUGGAAAGUUUCGGCGGUUGGGGAUGGACUCGCGGCUUAUCAGCUUGUUGGUGGGGUAGUGGCUUACCAAGGCUUUGACGGGUAGCCGGCCUGAGAGGGUGACCGGCCAAAUUGGGACUGGGAAACGGCCCAGACUCCUACGGGAGGCAGCAGUGGGGAAUAUUGCACAAGGGGCGGAAGCCUGAUGCAGCAACGCCGCGUGCGGGAUGACGGCCUUCGGGUUGUAAACCGCUUUCGCCUGUGACGAAGCGUGAGUGACGGUAAUGGGUAAAGAAGCACCGGCUAACUACGUG